AGUGAACGCUGGCGGUAGGCCUAACACAUGCAAGUCGAACGGCAGCACAGUAAGAGCUUGCUCUUACGGGUGGCGAGUGGCGGACGGGUGAGGAAUACAUCGGAAUCUACUUUUUCGUGGGGGAUAACGUAGGGAAACUUACGCUAAUACCGCAUACGGCCUACGGGUGAAAGCAGGGGAUCUUCGGACCUUGCGCGAUUGAAUGAGCCGAUGUCGGAUUAGCUAGUUGGCGGGGUAAAGGCCCACCAAGGCGACGAUCCGUAGCUGGUCUGAGAGGAUGACACGCCACGCUGGAACUGAGACACGGCCCGGCACCCUAGGGGGGGCACGAUGGGGGAAUUUUGGAAAAGGGGGGAAAGCCUGAUCCAGCCAUACCGGGGGGGUGAAGAAGGCCUUGGGGUUGUAAAGCCCUUUUGUGGGGAAAAAAAAGCGGAGGGUUAAAACCCCGCUUUUCUGACGGAACCCAAAAAAAAAGCACCGGCUAACUUCGU
rnacentral:rRNA from 1 species